UACGUAGGGGGCAAGCGUUGUCCGGAUUUAUUGGGCGUAAAGAGCGUGUAGGCGGUUUGGUAGGUCCGCUGUGAAAACUCGAGGCUCAACCUCGAGACGCCGGUGGAAACCAUCAGACUAGAGUCCGGAAGAGGAGAGUGGAAUUCCUGGUGUAGCGGUGAAAUGCGCAGAUAUCAGGAGGAACACCUGUGGCGAAAGCGGCUCACUGGACCACAACUGACGCUGAUGCGCGAAAGCUAGGGGAGCAAACAGG
rnacentral:rRNA from 1 species